rnacentral:lncRNA from 1 species
UGUGAAAAACUCAGCGUUUCUACAGAUUAGAAAUCGUAGACCCCCCCUCCGUUUUGUAAUAUUGAGAAGGAAGUGGAUCCAGAUUAGAAAAAUUUUGACCAAAAAACCCUCUCCAUAUAAUUGAAAAAUCAGAAUUUGCAACAAAAUUUGUAGAACCCUAGGAUCAGUUUUGAACGAGAACUAUUCUUCACAAACGCAGAAUCACGAACCCACAAAAGCGUCCAGCACACAUUCGGGUACUUCUGCCUCACCGGCCGCCGUAAAUCCGCACCCCUUCGCCGCCGCAUUUAAUCGCUGGAAAAUCUACCAAAUUGCGAGUCGGGGAGGACGGGAUUGAAGAAUCGCAGCUCAAUCUCAAGUGGGCUUCUUCACUCAUUUCCUGCAAAUCAAAAUCAGAGAACACUAAGUUCCGGCCAAGGAUCGAUUAUCAGCCUGCUUCCAGAAUUGACAAAGAACGAGGGUCGCUCGAAGCAGUAUAGCAGUGAGCAUUAAUCAGCCGAUGCAAAGGUAAAAUCACAAGCUUGCUUCUCCUCUUUCAUUUUCUUCAGAAAAGGCAUAAACAAACGGUUGAGAGAGAGAUAUUAUUUUCCCCCAAGAUUUCAGGAUUCCAGAUUAAAAUCAAAGCAUAUUUACCUGUAGUCUGGAUCCUUUGUUUUGCAGCAGUUUCCCAUCUGAUGCUUUAUUUCUUCAAGUGCAAUAAAACACCACUCAUGAAAAAAAAAAAGUUGGAAUUUUAUUUUUAAUUUUUAUAUAAUGCAGGACAAAACCUGGGCUAGAGAUGCUGUGUUAAAUGCAUUACAUGAUCCUUUGCUUGAUAUUGGUAUAGAGAGAGCUACUGGAAUUGUGUGGAAUAUAACUGGUGGUACUGAUCGAACAUUGUUUGAGGUAGCUCAGCCUUCUCCUUAUUUCAUUAUAUAAAAUUCACCAUUUCUGUGGAUCAUCGUGUUUUGCUAUUAGCAAUAGUACUUUUCCCAAUUUUUUCCGUUGGUUAUAAUGGGCCACAACUGAAUAUAAUUUUAUGGUUUGAAUUUCACCAAAAAUCUCUAGGGUUAAUUACUAAUUUUUUGGUGCAGGAAUAUUU